GACAGAGGGUGCAAACGUUGUCCGGAAUUAUUGGGCGUAAAGGGCUCGUAGGCGGUUUGUCGCGUCGGGAGUGAAAUCCACUGGCUUAACUGGUGGCUUGCUUUCGAUACGGGCAGACUGGAGGUAUGCAGGGGAGAACGGAAUUCCUGGUGUAGCGGUGAAAUGCGCAGAUAUCAGGAGGAACACCGGUGGCGAAGGCGGUUCUCUGGGCAUGUCCUGACGCUGAGGAGCGAAAGCGUGGGGAGCGAACAGG
rnacentral:rRNA from 1 species